AACGAACGCUGGCGGCGUGGAUUAGGCAUGCAAGUCGUACGCGAAAGAGGGGGCAACUCCUCGAGUAAAGUGGCGAACGGGUGAGUAACGCGUAGGAAACCUGCCUUCGAGAUGGGGAUAACACUCCUAACGGGGUGCUAAUACCGAAUGACACUGCGGGAUCGCAUGGUUCUGCAGUCAAAGGUGGCCUCUGCUUGCAAGCUACCACUCAAAGAUGGUCCUGCGUCCCAUUAGCUAGUUGGCGGGGUAACGGCCCACAAGGCGACGAUGGGUAGCCGAUCUGAGAGGAUGACCGGCCACACUGGGACUGAGAUACGGCCCAGACUCCUACGGGAGCAGCAGUCGAGAGGCUUCGGCAAUGGGGAAACCCUGACCGAGCGACGCCGCGUGGAGGA
rnacentral:rRNA from 1 species